rnacentral:rRNA from 1 species
UACGUAGGGGGCAAGCGUUGUCCGGAAUUAUUGGGCGUAAAGAGCUCGUAGGCGGUUCGUCGCGUCGGCUGUGAAAUCCCGAGGCUCAACCUCGGGUCUGCAGUCGAUACGGGCGGACUGGAGUUCGGCAGGGGAGACUGGAAUUCCUGGUGUAGCGGUGAAAUGCGCAGAUAUCAGGAGGAACACCGGUGGCGAAGGCGGGUCUCUGGGCCGAUACUGACGCUGAGGAGCGAAAGCCAGGGGAGCAAACGGG